rnacentral:tRNA from 1 species
UAGCUCAGCUGGUAGAGCAUUACACUUUUAAUGUAGGGGUCCUGGGUUCGAAUCCCA